rnacentral:lncRNA from 1 species
CCUUCACUGAGCGAUGGUGCUCGCAAACCGAACAUGGACACACGACGACAAAGCUAAAACGGUCUUAUUGUGACCUUGAAUUGCAUCCUUCUUGUUUUUUCUAACUUUCCAAUUAAUCGACUAGUCUGCUAGAAGGGCAAGCGGUAUCUUUGGCGCAUGAGGACAUUCGACCGUUCACGCCUGCGCUGCACCAACCUCAGGAACCAUCACUCCAGGUGAACAUGAAUCAAACGAUAAAGACAACAUCGGCGACAUUUAAAGUAAUUUUUUAAUUAUAUAUUUUCUACUUCCUUGUAUAAAGUGAUCUGUUAAUCAAGAUUCUAGAGCGACUUGCAAAUGCUUCCCACGUGGUGACGUUGCGUUGAAUGGUGUAGCAGAUGAUGCGGAGAGAAGCGGUGUACGGGAUAACAUUAUUUCGUGUGUGGGUUUAUCCCUCGAUUAUGUACUGAACACUGAAAUUGUAUUCGAAAACAAGAAUAAAUUGUGUGCUGUGCACAUGUGUGAAUGUGCAAAGCAACGAAAUUAAGGGAAUGAACAGAGAUUGCUAAUUUGCAUACUCCUACUCCAAAUAAAUCCCGAUCAGGAAUCAUUUUACAAAGAAAAGUCCAGAAGAAAUUUCCGCGGGACCGCAAUUCUGCGUCUGCUUCUGUAUACGAUUUUACCCUUUUAAUGUGAUCACAGGAGCUUCAUGAAGUUUGGCAAUAGUUCAGGUGAAUAUACAUCGUCCUUCAAGUGCCUUCCAAACCGCACUGUGUCUCAUCUGGAAUGGAUAAGAAGGAAACCCAACAUUGGCAUGAAGAAAAUACUGAACGACUUGAUGAAAUACAAGUGGUCUUUAAACCACAUCAGAUCACAUUUCCAACAACUUCGUUUAUACAGUUCGGUGUCUCAGAACCUUGAAGACCUGAUUAAUUUUCUCCAAACUCUCCAGAAGCACGUGGAGGUCAAUGUCCCUCGAAGACACAGUUGUGUCCCAAGAAACGACAAGGAGAGGCUGGCAUUAUUGAGGAAUUUGCACAUGUAUAUAAUUCAUAUCGCCAGAAUUUUAGUAAGGUUCAAGGGUGGAAGUAUGGGAUGUUAAGUCUGCAUCUAAGUUCACACACACGGAACCGUCCUCUGAACACCCAGCCUUAAAUUUUCAUGUCGUUCAUUGGGACAUCGCAUAAUUAUUGACUUUUUGCAGGAGCUUUGUGCAGCAUCGACAAUCAAACUUGAGGAUCAAUGUGAUGACCUAAAUCCUCUUUGACCGGCACAGUGUUCCGUGCACAUGCUGAGAUUGUCUGAGGAACUAACCCGGCAUUAUUGUACUCUUGCCUCAACUUGAAACUUUUACAUUUUAUAUUUAUUUAAUUAUUUAAUAUGUUAACUUAUCUAUUUAUUUCCUAUUUUUUUUGUUUGAUCAGCG